UACAGGGGGUGCAAACGUUGCUCGGAAUCAUUGGGCGUAAAGCGCACGUAGGCGGUCUGUUAUGUCGGAUGUGAAAGCCCUCGGCUUAACUGAGGAAGUGCAUCCGAAACUGGCAGGCUAGAGUACCAAAGAGGGUCGCGGAAUUCCCGGUGUAGAGGUGAAAUUCGUAGAUAUUAGCAAGAACACCAGUGGCGAAGGCGGCUCACUGGCCCGGUACUGACGCUGAGGUGCGAAAGCGUGGGGAGCAAACAGG
rnacentral:rRNA from 1 species